AUAUCUGGAAUGCGUUCUGCGCUUCCCGACAGGAACCACAAUCCCUGGGGCCAUACUCGAUCCAAAGGGAGCUGUCCCUGGCCAGUCCUGUGGGACUGGACACACGGCGCCCACCUACUUUUGUAGGCACCCAGGAUCGUAAAUCUCCAUCGGUCGCCGCGGAUCGCAC
rnacentral:other from 1 species